CGGAUCUUUAACAUGCAGUCGAACGGCAGCACGGACUUCGGUCUGGUGGCGAGUGGCGAACGGGUGAGUAAUACAUCGGAACGUGCCCAAUCGUGGGGGAUAACGUAGCGAAAGCUACGCUAAUACCGCAUACGAUCUAAGGAUGAAAGCGGGGGAUCGCAAGACCUCGCGCGAAUGGAGCGGCCGAUGGCAGAUUAGGUAGUUGGUAGGGUAAAGGCCUACCAAGCCGACGAUCUGUAGCUGGUCUGAGAGGAUGAUCAGCCACACUGGGACUGAGACACGGUCCAGACUCCUACGGGAGGCAGCAGUGGGGAAUUUUGGACAAUGGGCGCAAGCCUGAUCCAGCAAUGCCGCGUGCAGGAUGAAGGCCUUCGGGUUGUAAACUGCUUUUGUACGGAACGAAACGGUCCUUUCUAAUACAAGGGGCUAAUGACGGUACCGUAAGAAUAAGCACCGGCUAACUACGUGCCAGCAGCCGCGGUAAUACGUAGGGUGCGAGCGUUAAUCGGAAUUACUGGGCGUAAAGCGUGCGCAGGCGGUUAUGUAAGACAGAUGUGAAAUCCCCGGGCUCAACCUGGGACCUGCAUUUGUGACUGCAUAGCUAGAGUACGGUAGAGGGGGAUGGAAUUCCGCGUGUAGCAGUGAAAUGCGUAGAUAUGCGGAGGAACACCGAUGGCGAAGGCAAUCCCCUGGACCUGUACUGACGCUCAUGCACGAAAGCGUGGGGAGCGAACAGGAUUAGAUACCCUGGUAGUCCACGCCCUAAACGAUGUCAACUGGUUGUUGGGUCUUC
rnacentral:rRNA from 1 species